AUGAACGCUGGCGGCGUGCCUCAUACAUGCAAGUCGAGCGAACAGACGAGGAGCUUGCUCCUCUGACGUUAGCGGCGGACGGGUGAGUAACACGUGGAUAACCUACCUAUAAGACUGGGAUAACUUCGGGAAACCGGAGCUAAUACCGGAUAAUAUAUUGAACCGCAUGGUUCAAUAGUGAAAGACGGUUUUGCUGUCACUUAUAGAUGGAUCCGCGCCGCAUUAGCUAGUUGGUAAGGUAACGGCUUACCAAGGCAACGAUGCGUAGCCGACCUGAGAGGGUGAUUGGCCACACUGGAACUGAGACACGGUCCAGACUCCUACGGGAGGCAGCAGUAGGGAAUCUUCCGCAAUGGGCGAAAGCCUGACGGAGCAACGCCGCGUGAGUGAUGAAGGUCUUCGGAUCGUAAAACUCUGUUAUUAGGGAAGAACAAAUGUGUAAGUAACUAUGCACGUCUUGACGGUACCUAAUCAGAAAGCCACGGCUAACUACGU
rnacentral:rRNA from 1 species